ensembl:lncRNA
AGAAUUGCUUGGCCACACUGAAGUGAAAUACUGAGGUUUAAACAUCAGGGUACCGCGAUGAUUUCAACAGCUAUCCGAGAAACCACAGAAUAUGAGCAUAUAAACAGACGUCUACAAGGGGGAAACUCACAGAUGACUGAAAAUGAAUUUUGGCAGUGAUACAUUAACAUAAUUGGCAGUCACUGGGGAAAAUAUUGACAAUGGCCCCAGGAGCAGCAACUACUGAAGCCCGAGAGUCCUAGAGCCCAUGUUGCACAGCAAGAAAAGCCACCGCAAUGAGACGCCCGUGCACUGCAACUAGAGAGUGGCCUGCAUACUGCAGUGGAGAGUGGCCUCUGUUCACCGCAAUUAUAGAAAAGCCCGCACAGUAAUGAAGACCCAGAACAGCGAACAAAAUUAAAUAAAUAAACAAUAAAGUCACUACGAAAGUUAUUUUAGCACUUGGCAGCUCCUUGUUACUGACUGCAGAAGAUCAAGUUUGUAAUCUGGUGGCAGACAUGAUAUAUAGUUUAUGGAGAACUAAGUAAAGAGAUGCUCCAUAAUUUUUAUAUCAUAUCCUAAGAUAAAAUAAUUUCUAACAUAGCUGGACACAUGAUCAUCAGUGCUAAAAUAGAAUUAUUUAAACAUAGAUUCUGCCUCAAAAACAUCCCACGGAUUAAUCAUUCGUCUUGCAUAUUUGAUGUCUAAUACAAUUAACGGGAAAGGUGUUUUUGUUCAAUUUGUGAAGAACAAAGGAAUCUAUGCUUUAGAGAUGUUCAAUGAUUUGUUCAAAUGAAAAAUAAAGUUUUAAACUAGA